GAGCACGUAGGUGGUUUGUAAGUCAGACGUGAAAGCCUUCUGUUCAACGGAAGAAUUGCAUCUGAAACUACAAACCUUGAGUGUAGGAGGGGAGAAUGGAACUUCUGGUGGAGCGGUGAAAUGCGUAGAUAUCAGGAGGAACGCCGGCGGCGAAAGCGAUUCUCUGGCCUAUUACUGACACUCAGUGUGCGAACGCAGGGGGAGCAAACGGGAUUAGAUACCCCGGUAGUCCUAGCCGUAAACGAUGGGCACUAAGAAGAAGGGGUUUU
rnacentral:rRNA from 1 species